rnacentral:tRNA from 1 species
GGUUCAAUAGUUGAUAAACUGCAAAUUUAUUAGAGCCCUAUAGCAUGGACCU